GAGGUGUGGUUGGAAUCGUGUGAAAGUUGAAGUGUAAGCAGGAAAAUUGGAUUAGAGGAUACGAGUGCGUGAAGGUUGAUGAUGAUGAUGCUUUGGGCCAAAGAGCAUGUAUUGGUUCCAUACAAUUGUGCUAGGAGGCCAGAUCAAAUCCAGGAUCUAAGACCAGGGAUAACGUCUAGUUGGUACAAUCCCGAAGAUAGUGGUAUUCUCAUGCACCUUGUCUUUCUCAGCAGAAGUUAUGAAUUUGUGAGAUGACAUCAGAGUAACAUAGGUGAGUAAAUGCAAGUAAUUUUGUAAAUUAAACUAGGGUUAAAUCAGUGGGCUGCUGGGCAGUGUGGCUUUAAGGGCCAGAAGGUCCUGUUCUGUGCUGUAUCUCUAAAUAAAUAAAUAAAUUGAAGAAACUGUUCCAAAAGCUCAGGAGUUCAAGCAACAACUGUGGUGACAGGACCCGUUAUAGAUGACCUGAACUGAUGGAAGGUCAUCGACGUGAAAUAUUAAUUCUCUCCCCGCAGAUGCUGCCUGGCGCACUAAAUCCUUUCUGCGUUCCUGUUUUUAAACCAGUAGUUUAUUUGUCCUGUAACUUAACCACUGCGUCAUUUUUCUCCAUUUUAACCAGCUUUUUCUCCAUCCUUUCCGCCCGUAAUUACUCGCCAAUAGCAUCUGCAUUCAGCAACCACGCAUGCAUGUUUCUGUCACAUGACGACCUUUGUCAGAAUAAAACCGCACGCAAACACCAAAGGAAAAUAUACAAUAUAAUAAACUAAAGAGCUUUCACCUUGUUUUUCACGGCAAGGCAUUGUGCAAAAGAACCUGCGGUGUGAUCUUGACCCGCGACAUAUUUACUAAGUGCACAGCCACAAAUAACAUCUGUAACCAUAACUUCCCUCAGUGGGGGUUGGAGCUGCAUUAAAGUUGCACAAAAAUGAAGCGUCUGGUAGCUUCCUCGGGUCGGGAGUGGGAAGGGGAAGCGCGGGGGAGGACGGGUUGAGAUGCAAAGCGACAGAACGAAGUGAACGGAGUGAGUUCUGCCCCAGACACCAGCACCGGCUCAAAGGUAAACAAGGUGAAGACAGCAGAACACACAAAAUGUUGGAGGAAUUCAGCAGGUCAGCCCAGUCAGCAUCUAUGAGAAGAAUAACAAUCAACAUUUCAGGCCAAGACCCAUCAUCAGGACUAGAAUGAAGAAGGUAGAAGCCAAAAUAAGAAUGUGGGGGAGAGAAAAAGAGCACCAUGUGAUAGGUGAAACCAGUCUCAUAUGGUCUAACUGGAAGUAAGAGAAAUUGAUGUUCAUGCCACCAAGCGGGAAACUACCUGGACUUCAUGUUAUCAGGUUGGAGGCUGCCCAGUCCUUUUCAUAGAUUCUGCCUGACCUGCUGAGUUCCUCCAGCAUUUUGUGUGAGUUGCACUGUAUUUCCAGCAUCUGCAGAAUUCUCAUGUGUUUAUGACAAUAGAUGAAUGUUCAGCUUAAUCUAUGAAAAUUGCAGAUUGAGACCAAAGAAGGCAUUAAGUGAUGAUCUCAUGUUGUUAAAGGUCUCUCCCUGCCAUUUAAUGCACAGUAUAAGACUGGUCUGUUUUGUCACUUAACAUUCUGACUAGUUGUACAUUUACGAACACUAAAACAAAAGGGGGAUGUUUUGGGUGUCUGGAGUUGGUGCUGAAAGACUUUUGGAAUGGAUGCAGAGGGUGUUUCUUCACCCACAUUGGCUGAACAGAGGAGUGCUUUUAGUAAUGGACUGAAGACAAGUGUGCUGCUCCAAAGAGGGCUAUAUGAGGUCAUUCAUACCCGCAGCCAUUAGGCUCUACUCUGAGUCAACCUGUAACCAGGGAAGUGAUGACCCCCUCCUGUUAGACUGUUUGAGGUAACUUUUUUUUAAUUCUUUCUACUUCUCUUCUAAUAUUGAUACCUAUGCACUUGUAAUGCUGCUGUGACACUGUAAUUUCCUUUGGGAUCAAUAAAGGAUCUAUCUAUCUUUGGGUUCUUUGACAUUUUCUUUUUGCUGCUGUUAUAUGCCUUUAACUCAUCUACAUUAUUACACUGGAAGCUUUGGAAAAGUGUUCAUCCUUUACCUGUAAGGGGUUCCAAUUAACCAUAAGCAUCGGGAGGUCAAUAUUAUGGCCCGAGUCACUGCUACAUAUCAUCAGUUAAUAUUGACAAUAUUGCUUCAUGUAGCUAUGCUCUAUCAUCACCAGCAAUUUGUCUCGAAUCAAAACAUGCAAAACCUGCAGCUGCUAUGGAGCUGCACUCCGAGGGAGUUUUGAAAAAUAGAAACUUGCAAGUCUGCCAUACCUGUACCUACAACGUAUGGCCCUACAGUACAGAAGUCUAGACAACAGGCUUAAAGAAAGCUUUAUCUUUUCACCUUUAUUGCUCUUGGCAUCUCUUCACAGUACAAACAAAAAGGGUUCUGAAGUACGCUUAGUCCACUAAAAUACCGCAAUUACUAAGCCUAAGGCAUCUGUGCAUAAUUAACUAUGUUCAUUGGAUCGAUCACUGGUCCUCAGCCUUUUCCUGCUUGUGACCCACUUGUGACUUUCAUUUACCUCUGUGGCCCCCACCUUCCAUGGUCUCCGCUAGUUGCUAAAGUUUUUUUUUAGCUGUACUAUUCUAAUAUACAGUCAAUAUUUAUG